rnacentral:rRNA from 1 species
CGAAGGGUGCAAGCGUUACUCGGGAAUUACUGGGCGUAAAGCGUGCGUAGGUGGUUCGUUAAGUCUGAUGUGAAAGCCCCGGGCUCAACCUGGGAACUGCAUUGGAUACUGGCGAUCUGGAGUGCGGUAGAGGGUGCGGAAUUCCCGGUGUAGCAGUGAAAUGCGUAGAUAUCGGGAGAACAUCCGUGGCGAAGGCGGCACCUGGACCAGUCACUGACACUGAGGCACGAAAGCGUGGGAGCAAACAGGAUU